CGGGAUAUAGCACAGCUUGGUAGUGCGCUUGGUUCGGGACCAAGAGGUCGUGGGUUCAAAUCCCACUAUUCCGACCA
rnacentral:tRNA from 1 species